rnacentral:rRNA from 1 species
CCUACGGGACGCAGCAGUGAGGAAUAUUGGUCAAUGGGCGGGAGCCUGAACCAGCCAAGUCGCGUGAGGGAAGAAGGCACUGAGUAUUGUAAACCUCUUUUGCCAGGGGACAAAGGCGGCCACGGGUGGCCGUAAGAGGGUACCUGGAGAAAAAGCAUCGGCUAACCCCGUGCCAGCAGCCGCGGUAAUACGGAGGAUGCGAGCGUUAUCCGGAUUUUUUGGGGUUAAAGGGUGCGUAGGCGGGCUGCCAAGU